rnacentral:sRNA from 1 species
GGAUGUGAGGGUAAUCUGGCUGUGACAGCUGUCACCCCAUUGAUAGCCAGAGUUGAUUUGGAUGAUAUGGCUGCCUAGGUGGGUGUUCUCAUUGUCCUUCAGACUCCUUGUACAUUCCCCCAGAAGCCACAUGCUCAGUUGAUGAGUGUGAUAUUCCCUGAGAGAGGAGAACAAUUCUUCAGGCGAGUACACAAGUAACUGAAAUAUCCAGCUAACCCCUCCAAACAAGUUCUCAAAAAAGUCACAAAUUACCUGAGCAGAAACCCACAG